UCCUAUUUCUGCUGUGAAUUAUUUGUUUUGUUCUUCUAUCGUAACUCAAUAUUUUCCAACUUUUACUAAUUAUCUAGUUGAAUCGGCUAAUGAGGAUUAUGAUGGCAAUGCUAACCAGGGAAGAUUGGAAAGGAUCUCUCGUAUCACAGAGAUUGAGGACCUUCAAGCACCUCACGGUCCACCACUUGCUCCGCUCUACAUAAAAAAUCCUCGAGAUUACUUUGAUUCCCAGCAAGUCAAUGCCAUUAAAGCCUCAACAGUGGCAGAGG